GACGAACGCUGGCGGCGUGCUUAACACAUGCAAGUCGAACGGAAAGGCCCUGCUUUUGUGGGGUGCUCGAGUGGCGAACGGGUGAGUAACACGUGAGUAUCCUGCUCUUGACUUUGGGAUAACUUCAGGAAACUGGGGCUAAUCCCGGAUAGGAGCUCCUGCUGCAUGGUGGGGGUUGGAACGUUUCGGCGGUUGGGGAUGGACUCGCGGCUUAUCAGCUUGUUGGUGGGGGAGUGGCUUACCAAGGCUUUGACGGGUAGCCGGCCUGAGAGGGGGGCCGGCGACAAGGGGACUGAGAGACGGCGCAGACGCGUACGGGGGGCAGCAGGGGGGAAUAUGGCACAGUGGGCGGGAGCCGGAGGCAGCGACGCCGGGGGCGGGAUGACGGCCUGCGGGUUGUGAACCGCUGUCGCCUGUGACGAAGCGUGAGUGACGGUAAUGGGUAAAGAAGCACCGGCUAACUACGUG
rnacentral:rRNA from 1 species